GCUCACCUGUUUGGUGCGACGUCGUCGCCAUCCUGCGCGAACUUCGCGCUGCGAAGGACGGCUCAGGACUACGGAGGGCUUUAUCGACCGGAGGUAGCAAGGUGCAUACAGAGGAACUUCUACGUUGACGACUUUCUCAAGUCUGCGUCAACUGAGGACGAAGCAGCAGGGCUCGCGCUGGAAGUUCGUGAGUGCUGUGCCAGAGGAGGUUUCAGGUUAACGGGUUUUGUCAGCAACAGCUCAAGGGUGAUGUCAUGUCUCCCUGAAACAGAUCGUGCUCCGAGUCACAAAAUGGACCUCACUAAAGGUGUGCUGUCUCCGCAGAGAGCUCUAGGAGUACAGUGGGAUGUCGAUCAUGACACACUCAGCUUCAGAGUGGAGGUACAGCGUGGUCCAGCCUCGAGGAGAGGAAUCUUGUCCACUGUGAGUGCCAUGUAUGACCCCUUGGGAUUUGGAGCUCCAUUUUUGUUGCCAGCAAAAGUGUUGCUUCAGGACCUGUGCAGAUUACAGCUGGGUUGGGAUGAUCCAAUUCCCUACUCUCAUCUCCAACGGUGGAAUCAGUGGUGUGAAGAGCUUGCAGACCUUCGAGAUUUUUCCGUUCCGAGAAGCGUCGCCCCACUGCAUGGUGAGGCUCGGAGUCGCCAGCUGCACAUGUUCGCAGAUGCGAGUGAAGUCGGGUAUGGAGCAGUUGGGUACGUUCGAGUAGAGGACGCUGCGGGAAGGAUUACGACAUCCCUACUGAUAAGCAAGUGCCGUGUAGCCCCAUUGAAGACCUGCUCCAUCCCUCGCCUGGAGUUGACGGCUGCCGCUCUGGCAGUACAAUUGAGCACUCAAAUACUCUCCGAGACAGAUCUGCAUUUCGAUGAGGUGUGUUUUUGGACCGAUAGCGUCUCAACGCUCCGCUACAUACAGAACGUCACAUCUCGCUUCCAGACGUUCGUGGCCAACAAGUUAGCCGUCAUCCAUGAUGGCUCAAGUCCUAACCAGUGGCGAUACGUCCCUUCAGAGCUGAAUCCGGCAGACAGCUUAUCCCGUGGUCAGUCAGGACCAGCGUUUCUUGCAUCUCGCUGGGUUCUUGGCCCAGCGUUCCUCGAGAGCGCCGCCUGUGAAUGGCCGGAUCAGUCACAAGUCCAACAGCUUCAGGGCAGUACAGAGGAGCUUGAGAUCAAGAAAAGCGUAGUCAGCGCCACCACAGCUACAGAAGGUAAUGACUACACUGCACAGCUGCUGAACAGCACAAGUGACUGGUUCAAGCUGAAGAAACGUGUCGCAUGGGUGCUUCGGUGGAAGCAGCUGCUGCAGAAGAGAGUAGCCGGCAGGAAGGAGUCCGGUACACGUGAUGAAGAUCUUCUUUCACCUAGGCUGUCCGUACAAGAACUUGAGAUGGCAGAAGCUGCGAUUCUGAGACAUGUUCAAGAACAGGCGUUUCCUGAAGAAAUGUCCGGUUCAGUGAGGAAGUCGAGCCGUUUGUUCCGUCUGAAUCCUUGUGUGGUUGACGGAACUCUACGAGUCGGAGGACGGCUCGUAAACGCUCAGAUUCCAGACGCUGCAAAACAUCAGCUGAUUCUUCCCAAGAAUGGUCACGUCACUGACCUCAUUAUACGGGACAUGCACGAGAGAAAGGGACAUUCUGGAAGGGAACAUGUCCUGGCUGAGUUGCGCAGAAGGUUCUGGAUUGUGUCUGGAAGCUCCGCAGUACGCAGAGUUCUGUCAAGAUGCGUUAGAUGUCGAAAGAUUCAGGGUUCGGUGGUGACACAGCAGAUGUCGAACCUACCGGAAGACAGAACGGCGCCAGAUGGUGGAGUUUUCAGUCGAGUUGGGACCGAUUAUUUUGGUCCGUUCUAUGUCAAGGUGGGACGAAAGCAGAUGAAGAGAUAUUGUGUGCUUUUCACGUGUCUCGCAACUCGGGCUAUUCACAUCGAGGUGUGCGAAACCCUAGAUACAAGCUCUUUCAUUAAUGCUCUUCGCAGAUUCCAGGCUCGGAGAGGUCAAGUGAAGUUUAUCAGGUCUGACAAUGGGACGAAUUUCACAGGCGCUGAGAGAGAGCUGAGAGAAGAAGUCCGUAAGCUGCGAGAGAAAAGCGUUCAUGACUGCUUACUGAAGGAGGGGAUCACGUGGAAGUUCACCCCUCCAGGUGCCUCAUCGCAAGGAGGUAUAUGGGAGAGACAAGUUCGGAGCAUCAGGAAAGUCCUGAAUGCGCUCCUCAGGGAGCAGACGAUGACUGACGAGUCGCUCCGCACGCUUCUAUGCGAAGUGGAGGCUGUGCUCAACAGUAGACCUCUAACGACGGUAUCAAGUGACCCAGCUGAUCUGCAGCCUCUCACCCCCAACGACCUGCUACUACUGCGUGGUGGUCCGGUGCCAGACGGCAUCUUCAGCGAGGGAGACAGCUGCUUUGGUCGAAGGUGGAAGCAGGUGCAAUAUCUCGCCGACCUGUUUUGGAAGCGUUGGGUGAAGGAAUACCUGCCACUUCUUCAGCAGCGCCAGAAGUGGGUCAGAACACGGAAGAACCUCUCUGUUGGUGACGUUGUUUUGGUCGUUGACGUUAACAGCCCGCGAUGUCGAUGGCCUCUUGGACGCGUAUUGGAGGUGUUUCCGGACAGCGAGGGUCUUGUGCGUUCCGCUAUGGUGAAAACGGCAAGCAGCGUCUUGAAGAGGCCGAUCUCGAAGUUAGUGUUUCUCAUGUAGAAUAAGUAAUGUGACGCACAUGGUGCGCACAUGGGGGCGGGUGUAGGCGGCGCCGCUGCGGCGCGCGGUGGAACGGGGGUGCGGGCUCCCAGUCGUGCGCCGCUCCGCUCAAGCCGGCUCGCUCUUCUCUCUGCCCCGGUUGCCUCCCCGCUCUGCCUGCCUGGAGAGCCGGAACGGCCGGGACUACCUCCCCUCGGUUUGCGAGUAGCAUCGCCCAUGGUCCUAGAGGUGGACAUUUUCGUAUGGCUUUUACUCUGUUUGUACUUGAUUUUUCUGUACUUUGCGUUUUUCCGUUGUAUCAUUUGUACUAUGUUGAUUGUCGUAAACGACCAAUUUGAAAUGUAUCGCGUGAUUAUUUGCUAGUUUGAAUAUUCGAUGGCUCAUUGUUCGUUGGCGUAUUGUUAGAAGGCAAUUUCUGCAAUACUUCUCAGUACUCGUGUGUUGUGUGACGUGCCACCCGGCUCUAUGCCCGGCCAUGAUUCUGGAUCAUUCGCGCUGAUGGCGGCAGAGGCGGUCGUGUCGUGUCUGUGUUUGCGCGAGCGAUGAUAUGGCGUCGGAGAUGUGAGGCUGGCUUGGAAGGAUGCCUCUGGAUGUAUGGACGUUAGCCGCGAAGCGACCCAGAAGGCACAUUUGUCGCGUACGGCCUGCUGGUGGUCCCCGAGCUGUGCCUGGCGGUGGAGCUGCUGGAGCCGCUGGUCGGGCCGCUGUUCAUCUGCGCCGUGCUCCGGUACGGGCGCAACAUCACCAGCAAGACCAGCGGCGACACGACCAG
rnacentral:misc_RNA from 1 species